UUGGCGGCAGCCUGCCGACUGGCUGGAGACUCGGCAGAUGCAACCACAGAAGCCACGCUGGUGGGAGUGGAGCUGACCUGAGCAGAGGCAACCGUUGUCCCCUUCAGCGAGGCUGCGGUGGGCUGUGGAAGACAACUAGAGGCCAACCUGUGCAAGAUCUUCACACCUAGAACAAGUCCAGCCCACCCUAAGCUGUGUGUGAGACCCCACCAGACUCGGGAGUCAAGAGUGUGACACCAGCCCACUCCCAGAAGACACAAUGACACCUUGAGACCUAUCAGCGAUGCCACUCCAACCUUGCUCCUAGAUUGCAGUCUCACCUGAGGGAUGUUGACAAGCAGACUGGUAUUGGGGACAUUGGCGACACGGAUGAGUCCCUGCUGGAUGAUCCUCUGUCCCUGAAUUUGCAUGCUGGGCACUGAGGCACGGGGGGCUAGGAGGAGAGGUGGUGGCCCCGUGGAGGAAUGCUGUCUGAUGUUGUGAAUCUGCUGGGAGACAGGGGACAAGAAAUGCCACUGAGACCAACCAACCUUGGCAGGUCAUGGAAGGGGUGGACACCUGCCCCACCCCAGCACACAUGCCGGACUCACCUGGGCCCCUCUGACAAGCGGCGGCAUGACUACUUGAGAACUGGCCUGUGGUCCUAGCUUGGCAGACACCUGCUGCCCACCUCGGACCAGUGGCGGUGGGAUGAUGCUGCCCGGCAUUCGAGCAGAGGAGGUCUGUGGAUGACAUUGAGACCCAGGAUCAUACGUUUGUUCUGUUUCUCUUACAACUGCUUCUGCCUUUACUUCCCCCAGUGCAUGGAAGACAGGUGUGAGCCACCAGCCUAAUGUAUGUGGUACUCAGGGCUUGGUAAAAUGAGCCAGGGACUCUAACAAUGAAGUCACAGCUCUAGGUUGGUUUCUGUUUUACAGUAACAAAUUAAAAACCAAUACACAA